rnacentral:rRNA from 1 species
UGAGGAAUCUUGCACAAUGGGCGAAAGCCUGAUGCAGCAACGCCGCGUGAAGGAUGAAGGCCUUCGGGUUGUAAACUUCUGUUCUAAGGGAAGAAACAAAUGACGGUACCUUAGGAGCAAGCCCCGGCUAACUACGUGCCAGCAGCCGCGGUAAUACGUAGGGGGCAAGCGUUAUCCGGAAUUAUUGGGCGUAAAGAGUGCGUAGGUGGUUACCUAAGCGCAAGGUUUAAUUUAGAGGCUCAACCUCUACUUGCCUUGCGAACUGGGCUACUUGAGUGCAGGAGGGGAAAGCGGAAUUCCUAGUGUAGCGGUGAAAUGCGUAGAUAUUAGGAGGAACACCAGCGGCGAAGGCGGCUUUCUGGACUGUAACUGACACUGAGGCACGAAAGCGUGGGUAGCAAACAGGAUUAGAUACCCUGGUAGUCCACGCCGUAAACGAUGAGCACUAGGUGUUGGGCCCGUUAGGGCUCAGUGCCGCAGUUAACGCAAUAAGUGCUCCGCCUGGGGAGUACGCUCGCAAGAGUA